rnacentral:rRNA from 1 species
CUUCCGUAGGUGAACCUGCGGAGGGAUCAUUACCGAGUUUACAACUCCCAAACCCCUGUGAACAUACCUAUACGUUGCCUCGGCGGAUCAGCCCGCGCCCCGUAAAAAGGGACGGCCCGCCCGAGGACCCCUAAACUCUGUUUUUAGUGGAACUUCUGAGUAAAACAAACAAAUAAAUCAAAACUUUCAACAACGGAUCUCUUGGUUCUGGCAUCGAUGAAGAACGCAGCAAAAUGCGAUAAGUAAUGUGAAUUGCAGAAUUCAGUGAAUCAUCGAAUCUUUGAACGCACAUUGCGCCCGCCAGUAUUCUGGCGGGCAUGCCUGUUCGAGCGUCAUUUCAACCCUCAAGCUCAGCUUGGUGUUGGGACUCGCGGUAACCCGCGUUCCCCAAAUCGAUUGGCGGUCACGUCGAGCUUCCAUAGCGUAGUAAUCAUACACCUCGUUACUGGUAAUCGUCGCGGCCACGCCGUAAAACCCCAACUUCUGAAUGUUGACCUCGGAUCAGGUAGGAAUACCCCACUGAACUUAAGCAUAUCAAUAAGCGGAGGAA